GUUAGAAUAGUUUCUACGCAACGUUACAUUGAUAAAUGAGGCUCCAGGUUCGGCUCUCUCGAUCAACACAUUCUGGUAAUAGAGAUGACUGACUGGCCAGUCAAUCAUCACAUUUUAAUCAUUGAAGAUUAUAGGUUUGCUUGUUCACUGAAACAAUUUGAACCAAAGUGAUCUGCUUCAGAGAUAAUAACCUACACUGUCCAACUAAUUUAAAACUAGUGUAUGGAUAAUUAAUUACACCACACAAUAGGAAUGGCAUAUAUCCUCCCACCCUCCUCACACAGCUUCGUCUAGAUAAAUCAACAGCCAAACAUGUUUCUGAUAAAACACUGACGAUAUCCAGAUCUUUCUCUUCUCAGCCACUGCCCCACCCUGUCUCUCUCCGUUCCCGCCCCCUCUCUCUGUCUUGAUCCUUUCCUCCUACGGUCACCGAAUAACAUUCAGAAACCGACUUCCUUUUACCACGCGCAGGGGCUGUGUGACUACCGGGGGCGAGUGUCCUGCCCUGUCCACAACUCGACACACAUUCAAUGUCGACCGCGAUGCAACGUUAUAACGGAUUUAAAGGAUCGAUCAAGAUUACCUCUGGCAAAGCAAGCAGGAUGAGUUUUAAAUUAUACUCUCGGUCGAGUAGAAUCAUUUGAUUCUUGAGAUUCUUAAUUUUUGUUUAGAUAACAAUCACAACCCCGCAUGCCACAUGGAAAGCAUAAAGGAAGUUAAACUAGUUGAAGAAGAGAGAUUAGUAAAAAAAAACAACGGAGAUGUUUAGAAACUAAAUAAUAUUCUCCUUCUUUUAUCCCCGGCUGGGCAACUGGAAGCCUCUUCAGAAGGUAAAGUAGUAAAAUGGUAUGCCCUAGUUCAAUCAACAAGUGAUCAUCUGAUAACUCUCUAACCCUCUUCAAUUUAAAAGGGCAUUAUUGGCAUGGAAAGCAUAUGUUUACAUUGCCAAAGCAAGUGAAAUUGACAAGAAGCAAAUGGGAAAUAAACAAUACAAAAUGAACAGUAAACAUUACUCAUUCAUCUUUCUCCUGCAGAUUGCUAUGAUGGUGUUGCAAGAGGAGUGUGGUGUGUGUGAGCCAAGUCAGGGAGUAACUCCAGGCAGACAGGGGGAGAGGAGGAGGCCAUCUCCCCAGGGCAUGCUGCUAUCUCUAGGCCCAGUGAUGAUGGUAGUAGGGGGUUUCCUGACUCUGCAAGGUCCAGCCCUCUGGCUUGGGGUGCUGAUGGCUGUUACCGGAGCAACACUGACCACCGCGGGACUCUGUAUUGUCAUGACAACGCUACAGGUGUUGGACGUACCUGGACACUUCCUGUUACACCCCCGCACAGGAACACGCUACAGCCCACACCAGGCCCUGGCCAUCCAGAGGAGGUUGGACCGGAUACGUAGAGAGAUGUCAGAGGACUCUGUGCGAGUGACCCCCUCUCUACACCUCCCCUUGCCCCCCACCCCUCCUCCCUGGGACCUGGAGGCACCCCCCUCCUACGACUCUGUCAUGAAGAGCCGAGGUCCUUCUGACCUCUGAGGGCUAGGAUGGGACUACUGUUCUUUGACUCUGGUGUAUUCCCUUGCUGCCAUUACACAGUGAGCUAAAUAAAGCACACCCGUGCUGGGAGAGACAUUGUUCGGGAUUGGAGGGGAACGCAGAGGCUGUGAGGGGUUGGACCCACCAACAUUGUUUACAUACUUGUUUGAAGAAUGAGUGCGUUAUAAUGCUACUAUUAAGACUACUACAGCGUAAUACACUGCACUCCUGUUAUGUAAUUUAGCUUUAAACUAUCAACUUUACACCACCUAAAAUUGUUGUUGUUUCUGUUACUUUUUAGUAUAAGACUGCCCGGCAGCCAUAUAUUUCGACUUUGUAGUGGCAUCGUGCUACACCAGGCGACGAGCCCAGCACACCGCCAGCACUAAGCCUUCACUACCAGUCUCAAUGGAGCCAGCCUUUAAAACCCCAAUUUGACUUUCUUGCGGCCUUGGACUCCAUUAGAUGUGUGCUGUGACUGUGGAGGGAGUUAAGUGUCAUUCCCUAGUGUGAGUGAGGUGGUGUGUGUUUUUUGACAAUGUAAUAAAAUUUGGGCAGAGAUGAUUUCAACCAGAAAUGCCUUGUUGUUACAGUAGUAAUCGCUUGUAACAGUUUUUUUUUUCUCUCUCUCUUCAUGUUUUAAAUGGGAUGUCAUGAUCAACUUUAGUAAAUGAAUAACCAAAGAUCUCUGAGUCGUUUGUGUCUUAGUUGUGAGUUAAGGUAUUGUUAUAGCAUACCCUGCAUUCGAAAGUAUUCAGACCCCUUGACUUUUUCUACAUUUUGGUAUGUUUCGGCUUUAUUCUAAAAUUGAUUAAAUUGUUUUUUCCCAAUACCCCAUAAUGACAAACAGGUUUUUAAACAUUUUGACCAAAUGUACAAAAAAAAAAACCGGAACUAUCACAUUUACAUAAGUAUUCAGACCCUUUACUCAGUACUUUGUUGAAGCACCUUUGGCAGCGAUUACAACCUUGAGUCUUCUUGGGUAUGAUGCUACAAGCUUGGCACACCUGUAUUUGGGGAGUUUCUUCCAUUCUUUUCUGCAGAUCCUCUCAAACUCUCAGGUUGGAUGGGGAGCGUCGUUGCACAGCUAUUUUCAGGUCUCUCCAGAGAUUUUCGAUCGGGUUCAAGUCCGGGCUCUGGCUGGGCCACUCAAGGACAUUUAGAUACUUGUCCUGAAGCCAUUCCUGCAUUGUCUUGGCUGUGUGCUUAGGGUCGUUGUCCGGUUGGAAGGUGAACCUUCGCCCCAGUCUGAGGUCCUGAGCGCUCUGGUGCAGGUUUUCCUCAAGUAUCUCUCUGUACUUUGUUCCAUUCAUCUUUCC
rnacentral:lncRNA from 8 species